rnacentral:misc_RNA from 1 species
GAUGAAGAACGUAGCGAAAUGCGACAAGUAAUGUGAAUUGCAGAAUUCAGUGAAUCAUCGAGUCUUUGAACACACAUUGCGCCCCCUGGUAUUCCGGGGGGCAUGCCUGUCCGAGCGUCAUUGCUGCCCUCAAGCACGGCUUGUGUGUUGGGCCGUCGUCCCCCUCCUAGGGGACGGGCCCGAAAGGCAGCGGCGGCACCGCGUCCGGUCCUCGAGCGUAUGGGGCUUCGUCACCCGCUCCGUAGGCCCGGCCGGCGCUUGCCGACGACCAUCAAUCUCUUUCUCCAGGUUGACCUCGGAUCAGGUAGGGAUACCCGCUGAACUUAAGCAUAUCAAUAAGCGGAGGA